rnacentral:rRNA from 1 species
GCUACCACAUCCAAGGAAGGCAGCAGGCGCGCAAAUUACCCANUCCNAAUACAGGGAGGUGUUGACAAUAAAUAACAAUACAGGGCNCUCUUGGGCCUGGUAAUUGGAAUGAGUACAAUUUAAAUACCUCAACAAGGANNNNNUGGAGGGCAAGUCUGGUGCCAGCAGCCGCGGUAAUUCCAGCUCCAAUAGCGUAUAUUAAAGUUGUUGCAGUUAAAAAGCUCGUAGUUG